CCUAAUACAUGCAAGUCGAGCGGACAGAUGGGAGCUUGCUCCCUGAUGUUAGCGGCGGACGGGUGAGUAACACGUGGGUAACCUGCCUGUAAGACUGGGAUAACUCCGGGAAACCGGGGCUAAUACCGGAUGCUUGAUUGAACCGCAUGGUUCAAUUAUAAAAGGUGGCUUUUAGCUACCACUUACAGAUGGACCCGCGGCGCAUUAGCUAGUUGGUGAGGUAACGGCUCACCAAGGCAACGAUGCGUAGCCGACCUGAGAGGGUGAUCGGCCACACUGGGACUGAGACACGGCCCAGACUCCUACGGGAGGCAGCAGUAGGGAAUCUUCCGCAAUGGACGAAAGUCUGACGGAGCAACGCCGCGUGAGUGAUGAAGGUUUUCGGAUCGUAAAACUCUGUUGUUAGGGAAGAACAAGUACCGUUCGAAUAGGGCGGUACCUUGACGGUACCUAACCAGAAAGCCACGGCUAACUACGUGCCAGCAGCCGCGGUAAUACGUAGGUGGCAAGCGUUGUCCGGAAUUAUUGGGCGUAAAGCGCGCGCAGGCGGUUUCUUAAGUCUGAUGUGAAAGCCCCCGGCUCAACCGGGGAGGGUCAUUGGAAACUGGGGAACUUGAGUGCAGAAGAGGAGAGUGGAAUUCCACGUGUAGCGGUGAAAUGCGUAGAGAUGUGGAGGAACACCAGUGGCGAAGGCGACUCUCUGGUCUGUAACUGACGCUGAGGCGCGAAAGCGUGGGGAGCGAACAGGAUUAGAUACCCUGGUAGUCCACGCCGUAAACGAUGAGUGCUAAGUGUUAGAGGGUUUCCGCCCUUUAGUGCUGCAGCAAACACAUUAAGCACUCCGCCUGGGGAGUACGGUCGCAGGACUGAAACUCAAAGGAAUUGACGGGGGCCCGCACAAGCGUUGGACCAUGUGGUUGAUUCAAAUCCACCCACAGAACUUUACCAGUCUUGACAUCAUCUGACACCCUAGAGAUAGGGAUUCCCUUCCGGGGGGG
rnacentral:rRNA from 1 species